GAGAUGAAAGCAACUGAACAUAAUACACGAUUUCAAUUUUUCUGCACCUACUAAAAACAAUAUUUUAAUGAUCAAAAUAACAGCCUUUUCUUGGAUACCACUAUAAUUUUAUCCUUGUAACAGUGCAAUGAGGCAUGGAAGAGACAGGAGCUAUUGUGCUGGUUUUGCAGAUAAAGAGGCCAAGACAGGACUAUUCAACGGCAAAAGUGAGGAAAAAAAAGAUAAAAAAAAGAGAAGCAAAGCUGAAGAAGUAUUAUCAAAGCGAUGGAAA